GAUCCUGGCUCAGGAUGAACGCUAGCUACAGGCUUAACACAUGCAAGUCGAGGGGCAGCAUCAUCAAAGCUUGCUUUGAUAGAUGGCGACCGGCGCACGGGUGAGUAACACGUAUCCAACCUGCCGACAACACUGGGUUAGCCUUUCGAAAGAAAGAUUAAUACCGGAUGGUAUAGUUUUCCCGCAUGGGAUAAUUAUUAAAGAAUUUCGGUUGUCGAUGGGGAUGCGUUCCAUUAGGCAGUUGGG
rnacentral:rRNA from 1 species